GACGAACGCUGACGGUGUGCUUAGGCAUGCAAGUCGAACGAGAAAGCCCUUCGGGGUGAGUAAAGUGGCGAACGGGUGAGUAACACGUGGGCAACCUGCCCCUCGCAGGGGGACAACCGGAGGAAACUCCGGCUAAUACCCCGUACGCUUACAGGGUCGCAUGUCCCUGUAAGGAAAGGUAGCUUCGGCCAUCCGGCGAGGGAUGGGCCCGCGGUGCAUUAGCUAGUUGGUGGGGUAACGGCCCACCAAGGCGACGAUGCGUAGCUGGUCUGAGAGGAUGAUCAGCCACACUGGGACUGAGACACGGCCCAGACUCCUACGGGAGGCAGCAGCCAGGAAUCUUGGGCAAUGGGCGCAAGCCUGACCCAGCAACACCGUGUGGGCGAUGAAGGCCUUCGGGUCGUAAAGCCCUGUUGAUAGGGACGAAGGGCGAAGGGUUAAUAGCCCCUAGCCUGACGGUACCUUUCGAGGAAGCCCCGGCUAACUACGUGCCAGCAGCCGCGGUAAUACGUAGGGGGCGAGCGUUGUCCGGAAUUAUUGGGCGUAAAGAGCGUGUAGGCGGUUCGGUAAGUCUGUCGUGAAAACCUGAGGCUCAACCUCGGGCGUGCGAUGGAUACUGCCGGGCUAGAGGACGGUAGAGGCGAGUGGAAUUCCCGGUGUAGCGGUGAAAUGCGCAGAUAUCGGGAGGAACACCAGUA
rnacentral:rRNA from 1 species